UACGUAGGCAGCGAGCGUUGUUCGGAGUUACUGGGCGUAAAGGGUGUGUAGGCGGCUUUUUAAGUUUGGUGUGAAAUCUCCCGGCUUAACCGGGAGGGUGCGCCGAAUACUGAAAGGCUAGAGUGCGGGAGAGGAGAGUGGAAUUCCUGGUGUAGCGGUGAAAUGCGUAGAUAUCAGGAGGAACACCGGUGGUGUAGACGGCUCUCUGGACCGUAACUGACGCUGAGACACGAUAGCGUGGGUAGCAAUCAGG
rnacentral:rRNA from 1 species